AGUGAACGCUGGCGGUAGGCCUAACACAUGCAAGUCGAACGGCAGCACAGUAAGAGCUUGCUCUUACGGGUGGCGAGUGGCGGACGGGUGAGGAAUACAUCGGAAUCUACUUUUUCGUGGGGGAUAACGUAGGGAAACUUACGCUAAUACCGCAUACGACCUACGGGUGAAAGCAGGGGAUCUUCGGACCUUGCGCGAUUGAAUGAGCCGAUGUCGGAUUAGCUAGUUGGCGGGGUAAAGGCCCACCAAGGCGACGAUCCGUAGCUGGUCUGAGAGGAUGAUCAGCCACACUGGAACUGAGACACGGUCCAGACUCCUACGGGAGGCAGCAGUGGGGAAUAUUGGACAAUGGGCGCAAGCCUGAUCCAGCCAUACCGCGUGUGUGAAGAAGGCCUUCGGGUUGUAAAGCCCUUUUUUUGGGAAAGAAAAGCAGCAGGUUAAUACCCCGCUGUUCUGACGGUACCCAAAGAAUAAGCACCGGCUAACUUCGUG
rnacentral:rRNA from 1 species